rnacentral:hammerhead_ribozyme from 1 species
CCGCGAAACCGCCCGUUUUUGGGCGGUCGCAGGGGCGUGGUGGCCCUUGCCUGAUGAGCAGCCACAA